CACUGUGGUCCCAGCUGUGGCCAAGCUGCCUCCUGGCUCAGCAGUGCUGCUCGGUGCCUUACUUUUGCAACCACGCUCUGGCCCCCACUCCCCCAGCAGGAGCUGCCCACCCACCAGCCACUUCUUUUUUAGCCUGUGCCUCUUAUUUUGAGACCAUUCCUCUCACUCCACCCCUAAACCACAUGCACCAGCACUGUGUACUCUGGCACAGGCUGGGUAGAGCACAGUACCCUCUGACCACCGUGCCCUUCCCUGGCAGGGGGACCCUGGGGACCCAGGUGAGGACGGUGCCAAGGGUGCCCGGGGUGAUGCUGGCUCCCCUGGACUGCCUGGAGAGAGGGGUGUGGAGGGCCCCCGUGGCCCCCCUGGCACACGGGUAAGUGUCCCCUUUCCCAUGGGGGUCCGAAUGGGGGACCCGUGCCCUGCGCAGCUCCUGUUAGUGGGAAAUGGGGCUCACUUCUCUUCUGGCCCAUAGGGUGACCCUGGGGACCGAGGCCUGCCGGGAGAGAAGGUGAGAGCACUGGGGGCUGGGGGCUGUCCCAUAGCACUCCCAUCCCACCCCAAAGCUCCAACCAUCCUUCCCUGCUCCCUUCCAGGGGGAGCGUGGCCCACCAGGGCUGGAUGGCCGCAGUGGGCUGGAAGGCAAAGCUGGGCCCCCAGGGCCGGCUGGGCUGCGGGGGGACCCGGGAAAGCCUGGAGAUCCUGGCCGGGAUGGGCUGCCUGGGCUGCGUGGGGAGCAGGGGCCACCUGGCCCCAUGGGUCCCCUGGGACCACCUGGCGUGCCUGGCAAACCCGGUGAGGAUGGCAAACCUGGCCUGAAUGGCAAGAAUGUGAGUAGGGGAAACAGGGUUUGACUUUGGGGCUCUCCCAGGAUGCUGAGGGAUAGUGAUCCCA
rnacentral:lncRNA from 1 species